rnacentral:lncRNA from 1 species
UCAAGGGUACCAAUCUAAUACCCCAUAGAAACCUUACUAUGUUUAACUGUGCAUGCAUCAUGGUCAAACCUAGCUGAGUCAGUUAUGUUGUCCACAUAAUGACUCAUUAAGAUAGCCCUGUCCAAAGUCCACCUCUAUGUGUAUUUAUUUGGAGAACUAAAUGCUUUUUAUGCUAAUUGUUGGUUUAAAUAGUCGAGUCUGGUGGAGUAAGGGCUUCCAGAUAUUGACUCAUUAAGAUAGCCUUGUCCGAAGUCCACCGGGUUUCCUUGAAACCCAAACGGACGCCACCAUAUUCUAUGCAUUUAUGGAGAACUAAAUGCUUUUUAUGCUAAUUAUUGGUUUAAAUAGUCGAGCCUGGCGGGGGUAAGGGCCUCACCCUUUUGUUUUACAGAAAUGAAUUACAAAGUUCCCAACUUCGGUAUGGUCAACAUACCUUCACUCUUGCAGACUUGGCGGAGAAACCUCCCAUCGAGUAGCCAAAUCAACGAAUGGAAAGAGAGAGUCACCAAGGCUAGUGAGAAGCUAGAAUACCAGUAGUACAACUUGCUGGAAUUGGAAGGGAAAGUGAGGAAAAGAGUCAUCGACUGUCAAAAUGCUGAGGAAGGCAAAGCAAAACGUCAGGCGAUAGCAUUUUUAUUGGAAAAUCUGCACGAGCUAGAGGACUUGAUCAACGAGAACAUUCAACCUGAAGAAGGUCCCUCCGGGGCCAAGUAGUUAGGAGUCUCUUUCUUUUGCUUUAAUGAUGUAAUAAGGCCAAUGGCCAUUAGUGAUAUUUUUCUUUCCGUUAUUUAGUGUUGUUUUGGGAUUCGUCUUGUUUUUAUUAAUAAAAUGAG